GACGAACGCUGGCGGCGUGCUUAACACAUGCAAGUCGUACGGUAAGGCCCUUUCGGGGGUACACGAGUGGCGAACGGGUGAGUAACACGUGAGUAACCUGCCCACAACUUUGGGAUAACGCUAGGAAACUGGUGCUAAUACUGGAUAUGUGCUCCUGCCGCAUGGUGGGGGUUGGAAAGCUCCGGCGGUUGUGGAUGGACUCGCGGCCUAUCAGCUUGUUGGUGGGGUAGUGGCCUACCAAGGCGGCGACGGGUAGCCGGCCUGAGAGGGUGACCGGCCACAUUGGGACUGAGAUACGGCCCAGACUCCUACGGGAGGCAGCAGUGGGGAAUAUUGCACAAUGGGCGCAAGCCUGAUGCAGCAACGCCGCGGGCGGGAUGACGGCCUUCGGGUUGGAAACCGCUUUCAGCAGGGACGAAGCUUUUUGUGACGGUACCUGCAGAAGAAGCACCGGCUAACUACGUG
rnacentral:rRNA from 1 species